GGAAUCCUGCCAGGAGCUGAAAGCCUCACUAAAACCAACAGGGCAACACUAUUAAAUGCCUGGAGUCUUAAAUGAUUUGUGGUUUGUCGGGGUGACACGCUUGUGGUCUUCAUGCAAGUGCAACCUGAGAGACAUCCCUGCUAUUUACAGAAAUGUGAUUUCUUUCCUGGGUGCUGGAAGGAGCAUUUCCCUGGAGCUGGCUACAAGAAGGAAUGUCUGUAGAGUCAUAUCUGGUACUUGAAUAGGUGCCAUAAUCUGCUCAGGCUGCCUGAGGUCAAGCUUGUUCUGGGAUCUCUGGGUCUCCUGACAGCCUGCUGGAUGUUGGGACCUUGGAGCAGCACUCCUUGGGCUGUGGGAGAUGUGGGUGAACACAGAUGGCUCUGGGCUGCUGGAGGAGGAAGCAGAGGAUGCUCUGGUGUUUGUAUGGAGAGAGAACAUGGCAAUGCCCCUCAUGAGACCAGCUCCAACACUGCAAAUGAUUCUGGUUUUGCUUUUUCCUUACAAAAGCACCAUAAUCCCAGCAAAUAAAAUGGCACAUCACAGGUGAUCCCAAUGAAGUCAGCCAAGCUUCUUAUGAAGCCCACAGCUAAAUAAGGAGCUGAGAUGUGAGGCCAGAAGAAGCAAGUCCAUGUGAUUUGAAUUGCAAUUCAGUUUGCUUUAGGAUUUUCUAGUUGAAAGACAAAAGUUGGCCCUCCCAGCCUGGUGCAGUGUGAGAUCUGUUAAAUGCCACUGGAGACUGUACUUUCAACCACCUAGAAAAUAAAUUGGAUAAGCACUUCAGUUGAGACUAAAACCUUCAGUUUAAAACACUCUCACAUUAGUGAGAUUUUAUACAGUUUAAUAAAUUCUACACUGCUAUCAGAUCAGGAUUCUGUUAUCUGUAUGCUCAGUGUGAUGUGCGCUCUCCUGUGUUAAAAAUCCCCUUUUGUACUGAAAAAAAUCAAGGCCCAUUUCAGUCCAAGUUAGCUGCUCAUGAGAGUUUUUUGACGUUUUUCAAUUCUUUUAGUGACAUCUAGUGAAACUUGGGGAAAGUGCAAGUUCAGCUGAACUCCAAGGAGCGAUCCAACUGCAGUAGUAGAUGCUUCACAAUUAAAUGCCCAAAGUACUGUACCUUAUUUCAUUUACUGUCCUUAAGCUGCUGUUUAGGAAAUGCACAAAAUGUAUUUGGGCCAUUAAAAUUUUUAAAGUUUGAGCUCAUAUUCUGAUGAAACACUUUAUGCAUUUGAAGCACAAAAAUAAUUUACUCUUUGUUCCUUUUAACGUUGGGUAUUUAUUUAGAAUAACUUUUAUUUUAUAUUUUAAAUUUUGCCUUCUGUUAUUGGUGCCAUUGCUUCUCUACACUUGAAGGCUCCAAGUAUUUCAACUUCUACAAAGAACACCCCGAACUUUCGCAGGAAUUCAAGCUACACAUUUUCAAUAUUUGGUAUUCCUGAACUUACUGAAAAGUCAGAUUUGGUCUGCUUGUUGCCCUGGGCUAAUCCAGACUGGAUGUGAAAUAUUCUUUCAUCAGCAAAUGAAGUUUUCAGAAGAGAUGGAAAACGUCUGCCUCCUACCUAGCAAUCAGCUAAGAACUUCAAAGGAAGAGCUGCCUCCCUCAGAGCAGCAUCCAUAUGCAAUAGCUUUUAACAGUGUAACUUCUUUUUCUCAAAGUACAAACCCAAGUGGCUUCCAUAAAGUCUAUGGUGGUAUGGAUUUCAGCUGUGCAAAGGACAGGGCCACCACUACAAACAGGGCUCAUAAAUAUUUGGAAAAAAUACAAAGUAGUUUCAAACAGGCCAGUAUUAGAUGACUGGAAAGAGUUCAAAAAAUCUUAGGCCUUGCUUGAUCUAAAAGACUUCAACCUCCCAAACUGAAUAGGCAAUUAGGGCAGAUUCUGAACAGGAGGAUCUGAAGCAACAACUGGGAAGGGUGAACACUCUGGAAAAAUCCCAGCUGUGAGUGUCACUGAGCACACUCACAUGCAGCCAGCACAGGGAAGAUGCCCAGCAUAUCCAAAGAAGCUUCCAGGUCACUGAUUCUGAUCUGCUCUCAUCCCUCUCAGAGCUAACUUCUGAGAACUUAAAAAAUGAAGGCUUAAAGGAAAAAACAAUCCAAGUACACCAAGAGCAACAGUUCAAACAUUUUACUAAAUCAAUUCACACAGUUUCAAAAUUGUAAAUAUAAUUAAGGACAACAGGGUUUCUGUAUUUUUUUUCUUCCAGAAUCAUUAAGACAAUAAACAAACACAAAUUAGGUUUAUAGCAUCUGUUCUUUUAAAAAAUGAAAGGAACGCCACUUGAUGUAUUGAUAAAGCACCACAACACAGUUACAAAAUAGGGCUGGCCUGUUUCUUUCACAAGUAAAAGACUACAUACUCCUAACAGCUUCCUGCUUCAAUUCAUACUUCAUUAAAAUAAAACUAUAAAAUCUUCUAGAUUACACUAACUUCAGACAAUGCCUGGUAUAACAGUGCAUUAACAGCAGUAAUGCCAACUAUCAGUGCCAACAUAAAACAGUUUAGAGAGGAAAAACAAAACAAACAAAAAAAUCCAAAACAAAACAACAAA